UGGGGAAUAUUGCACAAUGGAGGGAACUCUGAUGCAGCGACGCCGCGUGAGUGAUGAAGGAAUUCGUUUCGUAAAACUCUGUUCUAUGGGAAGAAAAGGACUGUACCAUAGGAGAAAGCUCCGGCUAAAUACGUGCCAGCAGCCGCGGUAAUACGUAUGGAGCGAGCGUUGUCCGGAAUUAUUGGGCGUAAAGGGUGCGCAGGCGGCUUUACAAGUUGGAUGUGAAAUAUUGUGGCUCAACCACAAACGUGCAUCCAAAACGGCAAAGCUUGAGUUAAGGAGAGGUAAGUGGAAUUCCUGGUGUAGCGGUGGAAUGCGUAGAUAUCAGGAGGAAUACCGGUGGCGAAGGCGACUUACUGGACUUAAACUGACGCUCAGGCACGAAAGCGUGGGGAGCAAACAGG
rnacentral:rRNA from 1 species